rnacentral:rRNA from 1 species
UACAGAGGUCUCAAGCGUUGUUCGGAAUUACUGGGCGUAAAGCGCGCGUAGGUGGUUCAGCAAGUUGGAUGUGAAAGCCCUGGGCUCAACCUGGGGACUGCAUCCAAAACUACUGAGCUAGAGUACGGUAGAGGGUAGUGGAAUUUCCUGUGUAGCGGUGAAAUGCGUAGAUAUAGGAAGGAACACCAGUGGCGAAGGCGACUACCUGGACUGAUACUGACACUGAGGUGCGAAAGCGUGGGGAGCAAACAGGAUUAGAAACCCCAGUAGU